rnacentral:lncRNA from 1 species
UGCUCCUUGGCACUAGGUCCUCACAGCUGCAGGCUGUGGCAGAUAGCAGCACUUAACUCCCUGACCCAAUACCUACAGUUCUCUGCAGAGCAUCUCUCUGCAAAGGAGUUUGCCUGCAGAAGGACUCAUCGCCCUUUGCAGCUCUUCCAGGAAGUACUCCAAACUAUCUCGAAGGAAAGCCUGAGGCAUUGGGAAGAGCCACAGGAUCCUGAAGACCUCCAUACUGAAAAUCAAGUUUGAAGGAAAAUGAUCAGCAGAAAAGGGGAAUUCCAAGUUGUACAUAUUCUGAAAGAAAUUUCAAAUAGUGUUUCAACAUGACAAGCAAUAACGUCCAUGAUGUCAGUUGACCUCCAUAGUCCUCAAGGUACUCAGAAGAUGUCCAGAGCAGUUUGAUUUUUUUUGGGGCCUUUCACAACACUUCAGUAGACCAUGACCCUAAAGUGAAGCAGCUGACAGGAUUAUAAGUGUAAAAUAUUAUAUAAGACUAAUAAUUUCUCUAAGGAAUUGUGAGUAUAAAUAUAAGAUUAUUUUACAUGAUUAAAGAACACCAUGAGUU